rnacentral:lncRNA from 13 species
AGUUCUUUUUACUUUUUUUUUUUUGAAAUGGAGUCUUUCUCUGUCACCCAGGCUCGAGUGUAAUGGCAUGGUCUUGGCUCACUGCAAACUCCACCCCUGGGUUUCAAUCGAUUCUCUUGCCUCAGCCUCCCGAGUAGCUGUGAUUACAGGCACCUGCCACCAUGCCUGGCUAAUGUGUUUUUGUAUUUUUAGUUUCACCAUGUUGGCCAAGCUGGCCUCAAACUCCUGUCCUCGUGAUCUGCCUGCCUUGGUCUCCCAAAGUGCUGGGAUUACAGGUUACUGGAUCUGUGGUCACCUACAAGUUUUCAGAUGGAUCAACAUCUCCUCAGGCAAGCAGGAAGGGAAAGAGAAUGUGAAGGCCACUCCUCUUCUUUUAAAGGAUAUGACCUUGAAGUUAUAUUAAAGGAUAUAACCUUGAAGUUGACCUUGAAUUGGUUAUUUUGCCCAUUAGUUGAUACAGUUUCUUCAUAGUGUUGAUG